AUCAAUAAUUCCUAAAUUCUGUUUAAAAUUAUUAAAUUUCUAAAUGUUAUAAAAUUAUUAUAAAAUAAUAACCUAACCAUUCCUCUAUUUUUUCCAUGUGAAUAAGUCGUCUUCUCUUCUCUAAAUCAGCUUACAAAGAAGCCUUUCUACCUACCCACUCUUAAGUCCUAAAGGAUCCUAGUUGUUUUUGUUGCCGCGCCGCUAGCCUUGCCGUCGGUGGCCUUCUCGGGUCAAUAAUGCCAUCAAACAGUUCCUUGUACUGUCUCCUUUCUAUAUCCCCAGUUGGAAUUUCGCAAAAUGCCCCUCAAAAAUCAGUGUCUCGAUUUUGUUUUCGACACUUUAUGGCUCUUACCUCUCCAUUAGUCGUUGAAUAGACUUGAGAUUUCGACGGAUGUUUUUUCCAUUUAAAUCUCCCAAAGAUUCAUUGGAGGCCCCAAUUUCGAAAUGACCAAAAAUGGAUUUUUUAUGGAUUUGUUUGUUGUUGCCUUGGUGGGUCCAUGGGUUCAGUGAGAACAAUGGUUGGAUUAUGUUGAGACUCAAAGGUGCUGAAUUGAGGGGUGUAAUGGUGUUUGUCAGUGAUAGAAGACAGGUAAAGGGUGACGGUGAAGGGUUAGUGCAGAAUUUUGGAGCGAAAAUAUGUGACAUUUAACAUACCCGAUCCGGUUAGGAAAAAAAUUGGGUCCAAUACAUGAUACAAGGCAUUGCAAAGUUGAAUUGAAAUUUCUUAUAUGAAAGGAAAGGAAUCAAAGUAUAAUAAAGUAAAUCACAGACCUAAUAGAAGACUUUGAGAUGAGUUUAACAUCAAUUUUGAAUUUAAUCAUUUGACAACUUCUAUCCCCUACCUUUAUCCAAAAAAAGUGUAGUAAUAUAAACUUCUAUUGUUACAUUUUAAUCCUGGAACCUGCUCUCUUUUUUUUCUUUUUCAAUCCAACCUAUCAGUUUCGCUUUCCCAAUCAGCAGGAAUUUCAUUUCUCUGCCAAAUAUUUUUACCAUACAAAAGGGUAAGCAAGGGCUGCAACAAAACUAGCUCAUCUUUCUACCUGCUCCUGCUCCACUCUGUUUU